AUCUUUUUAAUAGGAUGCAAUGGGCCCCAGACCCGAGGUCUAUAGUGUCAGCUUAACAUUACCGGCAUUGUAUCCGAGGGCUCUCUUCAAGAUGGUGACCAUUCCCUUAAUUGCUGAUAACUGCACCUCAUGGGCACUUGGGUGACCAGGUUUUGGUUCAAGGUAUUUCUUCAGGUUCUUCUUCAUAAACCCUGUUGUUCCACCAGAU